rnacentral:rRNA from 1 species
UACAGAGGUCCCAAGCGUUGUUCGGAUUCAUUGGGCGUAAAAGGGUGCGUAGGCGGCGCGGUAAGUCGGGUGUGAAAUCUCGGGGCUUAACUCCGAAACUGCAUUCGAUACUGCCGUGCUUGAGGACUGGAGAGGAGACUGGAAUUUACGGUGUAGCGGUGAAAUGCGUAGAUAUCGUAAGGAAGACCAGUGGCGAAGGCGGGUCUCGUGGACAGUUCCUGACGCUGAGGCACGAAGGCCAGGGGAGCAAACGGG